rnacentral:rRNA from 1 species
GAUCAUUACAGAGUUCAUGCCCUGCAAAGGGUAGACCUCCCACCCGUGUGUAUCAAUACCAUGUUGCUUUGGCAGGCCUGCCGUCAGGCUGCCGGCUCCCCGGAGCUGGUGCGUGCCUGCCAAAGGACCCCUAAACUCUGUUUAUUAGUGUCGUCUGAGUACUAUAUAAUAGUUAAAACUUUCAACAACGGAUCUCUUGGUUCUGGCAUCGAUGAAGAACGCAGCGAAAUGCGAUAAGUAAUGUGAAUUGCAGAAUUCAGUGAAUCAUCGAAUCUUUGAACGCACAUUGCGCCCCUUGGUAUUCCGGGGGGCAUGCCUGUUCGAGCGUCAUUUCAACCCUCAAGCGUAGCUUGGUCUUGGGUCCUGCCGGCAACGGCAGGCCUUAAAAUUAGUGGCGGUGCCCUGUUGUGGCCCUGAGCGUAGUAACUUUUCUCGCUAUGGGUGCCCCAGGAUGGCUUGCCAACAACCCCAAUUUUUCUAUGGUUGACCUCGGAUCAGGUAGGGAUACCCGCUGAACUUAAGCAUAUCAAUAAGCGGAGGAAAAGAAACCAACAGGGAUUGCCUCAGUAACGGCGAGUGAAGCGGCAAAAGCUCAAAUUUGAAAUCUGGCUCUUUCAGGGUCCGAGUUGUAAUUUGUAGAAGAUGUUUCGGGUGUGGCCCCGGUCUAAGUUCCUUGGAACAGGACGUCAUAGAGGGUGAGAAUCCCGUAUGUGACUGGGUGCCUACGCCUAUGUGAAACUCUUUCGACGAGUCGAGUUGUUUGGGAAUGCAGCUCAAAAUGGGUGGUAAAUUUCAUCUAAAGCUAAAUAUUGGCCAGAGACCGAUAGCGCACAAGUAGAGUGAUCGAAAGAUGAAAAGCACUUUGGAAAGAGAGUUAAACAGUACGUGAAAUUGUUGAAAGGGAAGCGCUUGCAAUCAGACUUGCGCCUGGGCGAUCAUCUGGGGUUCUCCCCAGUGCACUCGUUCAGGCUCAGGCCAGCAUCGGUUUCGGUGGUUGGAUAAAGGCCUUGGGAAUGUGGCCCCUCUCGGGGGGUGUUAUAGCCCUCGGUGCAAUGCAGCCUACCGGGACCGAGGACCGCGCU